GUCAUCGCACAUAAUGCACUCCAAUUUUCGUACAGUAUGGUAAAAUGGCGUACUUCGAACAGUUGGUUAACGCGUUGCAUGCCAGUUUUCAACUAUCGUCACAAAACGUUGAUUUUCACAUUCAAGUUCGCCUUCGUUCGACGACUAAAAGCGAGAGCAAAUUUCUUCGACAUGAAAUUUGCACCGAUACUGAUAUUAAUCUUUUAUUGGCUCAAUUCUUACACAAUCGCAGAUCCGGACAAGUGCAUGAACCAAUCGUACGAAGUGAAAAAAGAAAGAGAGAUCUGGAAAAAAUUCAAAGGCGAAUUUUCCAUACUCGGAAAUGCAAAAAAACACGUGAAAAAACUAAUCUUUGGCAGAGAACACGAAUCUUAUGCGCUAAAAGAUGACAUGCUGCGAUACCUUUGCGCAUGUGCCAUCUAUAAAAAAAAACCGAAACAAGAUACAACUUUUGAUGAAAUUUUUAAAAACGUGUCGUAUGGCAGAGUCACAGUUGGCAUCCACAUUUCAUACUUCAUUAUCGAACGCAAACACGAUUUUCCAUCCAUUGUUUGCGAAUAUGGCGCAGAAGACGGGUCGGAUGACUGCAUUAUAAUAAGGGGCCCGAAGAAACUAUCGUCCAAAAAACCAGUUUACAAUAUUUACGUCGGAAAACCGAGCGAAAAUCAAUUUUUUGAUUUUCAAGGCGUCAUCAAAAAUGUGGAUGUUGAAGCACGAGAUACAAUAGAAAUCCCAAUCGAUAAAAUAACAGAAAGUUGAAUUAUUGAUUGCUAUUUUUUCAGGUAGGUAAGCCAAUUGGCAAUUUUCAAUAAUUUCAAAUCGCCUAAAAAUAUUCUGAAUUCAUCAUUGUUAAAAAGAGGAAAAUAAAGAUCUUUCAAACGACCGUCAA